rnacentral:lncRNA from 7 species
GAGAACGAGCCCGGGCGCCCGGCAGAUGGUAGCAAAGCUCUGCCGCUCCGCGUCACCGCCGAACGGAGCUCCGGGGGAAAAUCUGCUGCCUGCACGGAUCCUCUCCCUGGCCUUCAGUUCCCUUAGGAGGAGCAUGGAGCGUACCGCGUGGGGUCACACCGUGCCUGGGGGCCAUCGCCCAGGGGAAAUGAUGACUGAGCGUCCUCCGUCGCUAAAUGGUUUGCGGUGAGUCUGAUCCCAGCAGCCUGCAGGCUGUGUGCUGAUGGGGUGUGUGGGUGUGGGAAGCCCUGCAGCCCCGGGGUGUCUCUGCACGUGCCCUGCUCAGCUCACACCUGCCCUGCCCUGUGCUGCCCGCAUCCACGGAACGAGCUAUAGAAGCCUGAGCUGUCCCCUGUCUUCUGGCAUGAUCCUGGAGCGCUGAAGAGAAGAGCUUAACUUGCAAAGUUACACUGACAUUGUGAGCCUUGCAUACCUAAUAAACCAUGGCUUCUUUAAC